rnacentral:lncRNA from 10 species
AUUGCCUUCCACUCCAGGCUGAUUGUUAAGUUACUCUUCGUCCCUUAGUAAUAGGCUUGGGGGGAGGGGUUUCAUUACAGAAGGACAUAUGAAAUAGAGACACUGGUUAACUUGGCAAGAGUUUGAGGGUUAUAGUACAAGAUUUUUAAGCCUAACUGAUUAAUUCCGAGUAUGGUAUACUUAAGGGUGGGCAGAGAAGGUUUGUUCAUUCAUUCGCUCAUUCAUUCAUUCAUUCAUUUCCCUCAAGCCUGCGUCCCCGCCCGGUCAGCAUCGCAGGUGUUACCCAAACUCUGACGGUCCCUUUAAGAACUCACCCGGAGUCGCGCCCUCCGAAGCUGAGCCGCCCUCGGCCAGCGCUGCAGGUUUGUUUCGUGCGCACCUCCGGGCGGAAUUACCGGCCGGCUGGGACCCCGCUCCCGGUCUGAGCCACCCAGGUUAUAGAAGGGGAAUCUCGGGAAGCUUUCCAAGUCACUGCCCACGUCUUCGAACUUCCUCGGGGUGACGAGGACCUCCCUAUUAGGAGGUCCAGAGAGAAUUUGCCCAAAGUUACCCCGAGUGAGUGACAGAACUGGAAACCCGGAGAUCCUGUCUUUCAAAACCGGAAGGCUCUUCCCAGUAAACCUGACGGCCUCUGACUGAGGCCGUAUCCAUUGGCUACCAAAGGGAAGGCCGAGGAACCUCGUAUUGUAACCUUAACAGCUACUCAGAGGUAUACUGACCACUGGUUUUACUUUUGGAUUGCACCUUAGAAUCCUAACUUACUGUAAGGACCCACCGACUUUAGAACCUAUCUAGGACAAGGAACCGAGGUCCGGAAAAAGGGAAGCAACUUGUCCAAGGACAUAGACGCUAAUCAGUAACAGAGCAGCCGAGAACUCAGGUCUCCUAGCUCUAGUCCAGGGCUCUUUCUCUUGUGAUUUUGGACAACUUGACAGAGAGGUAUGUUGGUAUGUUGGCAGCAGACCUCUGUGCUUUCCCGGAUCAAGCAUCCUGGGAUCUUGAACAACAGUUAAAGCAACAUUGCAUAGAGAAAAUGGGAUAGAAGGGUCAAACGGUGCUGAAGGCAGAGGUGUCCUAACAGCCGGGAACUUAACAGAGGGACGGAAUUUAUUUAGUAGUGAAAGUGGCUCAUGACAGGCAUCAUACUCUCAAGACUUCGCUGAUGGACUGUGAAUGGGAUGGUUGCAGUAAGAAACCAUUCUAACAAUGGAAUCUCUUCAGAAUUCAGAAGAAACAGGGAGGGAAAUUUGCCCUCUCCCUUGAUAACAUUUAUUGUUCAUAUAUGUUCACUUGCUAGGAAACGGGGAUAGAAAUAAAUAAGAUCCGAGUCCUGCUCUCAAGGAUACACAGCCUUGUAGCAAGUACACAAAGGCCAAUGCACCUUUUCCCAGGGGACACUGAGGAGUCAAAAACAAAAUUUGUGUGAGUUCUCAAUGUCAUCCUAGCCUUCCCCUAAAAGCAAAAAGGAGGAAGGGGAGGAAAGAGGACGUGUCCUUUUUUCUUGUCAUUCUGUGUGACAGCCCUAUUUGGUUGUCAGCGGUGUACAAAAGCAGCAGUGAACCCAGCACUUGUUCUACCCUUAGCCUAAGGUGCCGGCAGCAAGUGCCUAGCAAAUGAACAUAUAUGAACAAUGAAUAAAGGCUCUUUACUCUUCAUUCCUCCUUUCUACCCAUCUUUAUUAGUUACUUAUUGCUGGAUAAAAAAAAAGUUCCUCAAAGCUUAAGGGUUUAAAACUUAUUAGCUUAGUAAGUUAAACAGCGAUAAAUAUUAUCUCAGUUUCUGUGUGUCAGGAAUUCAGGAGCGGCAUAGUUGGGUGGUUUUGGCUCAGGGCAUUAUGAUGUUGCAGUCAAGAAGCCUGCCAGGGCUGCAGUCAUCUGAAGGCUUCAGGGGGACUACGGGAGGCUCUUUCAGCAUGGAUCAUUCACAUAGCUAGUAAGUUGAUGCUGGCUAUUGGGCGGAGGCUUCAAUUUCUCACCAUGAAGACCUUUCUAUAGGGCUGCUUGAGUGUCUUCAUGACGUAGCGGCUGACGUCCAACAGAGCAAGUGAUUCAAGAUGGCGAGACAGAAGAAGCCACAAUGCCUUUCAUCACUUAGUCUCAAAAGUGACACUCUGUCAUAGUCUGUUUGGGCUGCUAUAACAAAAUACCUUAGACUGGGUGAUUUAUAAACAACAGGAAUGUAUUACAGCUCUAGAGACUAAGUAGUCCAAGAUCAAAACACCAUCAGAUGUGAUCUAACAGUCAUGAGAAUAAAAAUUAAAAAAAAAAAAAUGGCCAGGCGCGGUGGCUCAUGCCUGUAAUAUCCAGCACUUUGGGAGGCCAAGGCAGGUGGAUCACGAGGUCAGGAGUUCAAGACCAGCCUGGCCAAGAUUGUGAAACCCCGUCUCUACUAAAAAUAUAAAAAUUAGCCAGGCAUGGUAGCAGGCACCUGUAAUCAACUAUUCAGGAGGCUGAGACAGAGAAUUGCUUGAAUCCGGGAGGCGGAGGUUGCAGUGAGCCG